AAGCCUGAUCCAGCCAUGCCGCGUGUGUGAAGAAGGCUUUCGGGUUGUAAAGCACUUUCAGUGGGGAAGAAAUCCUCGGGGCCAAUACCCUCGAGGGAGGACAUCACCCACAGAAGAAGCACCGGCUAACUCCGUGCCAGCAGCCGCGGUAAUACGGAGGGUGCGAGCGUUAAUCGGAAUUACUGGGCGUAAAGCGCGCGUAGGCGGCGUGAUAAGCCGGUUGUGAAAGCCCCGGGCUCAACCUGGGAACGGCAUCCGGAACUGUCAGGCUAGAGUGCAGGAGAGGAAGGUAGAAUUCCCGGUGUAGCGGUGAAAUGCGUAGAGAUCGGGAGGAAUACCAGUGGCGAAGGCGGCCUUCUGGACUGACACUGACGCUGAGGUGCGAAAGCGUGGGUAGCAAACAGGAUUAGAUACCCUGGUAGUCCACGCCGUAAACGAUGUCGACUAGCCGUUGGGGUCCUUGUGACCUUUGUGGCGCAGUUAACGCGAUAAGUCGACCGCCUGGGGAGUACGGCCGCAAGGUUAAAACUCAAAUGAAUUGACGGGGGCCCGCACAAGCGGUGGAGCAUGUGGUUUAAUUCGAUGCAACGCGAAGAACCUUACCUACUCUUGACAUCGUGCGAACUUUCCAGAGAUGGAUUGGUGCCUUCGGGAGCGCACAGACAGGUGCUGCAUGGCCGUCGUCAGCUCGUGUUGUGAAAUGUUGGGUUAAGUCCCGUAACGAGCGCAACCCUUGUCCCUAUUUGCCAGCGAUUCGGUC
rnacentral:rRNA from 1 species